rnacentral:misc_RNA from 1 species
AGCAGCCGCGGUAAUUCCAGCUCCAAUAGCGUAUAUUAAAGUUGUUGCAGUUAAAAGCUCGUAGUUGAAUUUCGGGAUCAAUAUGUUGGUCGUGCCUCGGUACGUACUAGCAUAUUGGUUUCUCCUUUCUGAAGAACCAUGAUGUCAUUUAUUUGGUGUCGUGGGGAAUCAGGACUGUUACUUUGAAAAAUUAGAGUGUUUAAAGCAGGCUCACGCUUGAAUACAUUAGCAUGGAAUAAUGAAAUAGGACGUUUGAUUCUAUUUUGUUGGUUUCUAGGAUCGACGUAAUGAUUAAUAGGGAUAGUUGGGGGCAUUAGUAUUCAAUUGUCAGAGGUGAAAUUCUUGGAUUUAUUGAAGACUAACUACUGCGAAAGCAUUUGCCAAGGAUGUUUUCAUUAAUCAAGAACGAAAGUUAGGGGAUCGAAGACGAUCAGAUACCGUCGUAGUCUUAACCAUAAACUAUGCCGACUAGGGAUCGGAUGAUGUUAAUUUUUUAAUUGA